GACGAACGCUGGCGGCGUGCUUAACACAUGCAAGUCGAGCGGUAAGGCCCUUUCGGGGGUACGACGAGCGGCGAACGGGUGAGUAACACGUGAGCAACCUACCGAAAUAGAGGGGGAGUAGCCGGCCCAACGGCCGGGUAAUACCGCAUACGCUCAGAUCCAGGCAUUUGGGUCUGAGGAAAACCUCAGGGGCGAUUUCGAGGGGCUCGCGGCCUAUCAGCUAGUUGGUGAGGUAACGGCUCACCAAGGCGACGACGGGUAGCUGGUCUGAGAGGAUGGCCAGCCACAUUGGGACUGAGAUACGGCCCAGGCUCCUACGGGAGGCAGCAGUGGGGAAUCUUGCGCAAUGGCCUAACGGCUGACGCAGCGACGCCGCGUGAGGGAUGACGCUCUUCGGA
rnacentral:rRNA from 1 species